GGAGUGGUAGUUCAGUUGGUUAGAAUACCGGCCUGUCACGCCGGGGGGCGCGGGUUCGAGUCCCGUCCGCUCCGCCA
rnacentral:tRNA from 1 species